rnacentral:rRNA from 1 species
GGUUCCACCUCUUCCCAUUCCGAACAGAGAAGUUAAGCCCUGCCGCGCCGAUGGUACUGCAUAGAAGUGGGAGAGUAGGUCGCCGCCGAUU